GCUUUCCAGUAUGUGACUAUUUAUUGCAUGGCAAUUCUUCGUUCACUUGUUAUCCUGUCUUAUUUCAUAUUUUAGGGGCCAAGAACAUACAAGAUCAAACAUGUCGAGUGUUGGCCCGGUAACAGAACAGCCGAAAGGAACAACGGAGAUGAGUGAGGCACCAAAACAGAUACCCGCAAGUUUAGAAUAUUUGAGCAGUUUGGAUACAAUCAUUGUCAGGCAAAAAAUGGAAAAAAUGGAAGCACUGUCAGGAAUUGAAAUGAAAAACAAGUAUCAGGUGAUGAACAAAGAUUUCCAGGAAAUUUUCUUCGCGCGAGAAG